AUGGCUUCUUCCGGUUCCGUGACGAGGCCACCGUGUGCUAACUGCAAGGACAUGCCGGACAAGUGGACAGACGCCCAGUUGGAUAAGGUGAAGGACAAAGAUAUGAGAACUCCAUCAUGUUGGUGUGGAGAUGUUUGCAAAGUCGCGGACCGCAAUAAAUCAUGGACGGAAGGACGAUAUUUUGUUUGUCCCAACUAUGCCUACGAUCGUCCUCGUCCAGCUCACGCCUAUGAUGUACCGCCGGUAAGUUGUUCAAGUUCAAAGAGUAUUCAACCGUUGCUACAACUUGAACCUAUCUUACUAAUGACCACAUUUGUUGUUUAUUCGUACGUAGUCGCCGCCUCCACUUUGUAA
rnacentral:rRNA from 1 species